UUUAAACGUAAUUCAUUCAGUUUUUUUGUGUGAUUGGUUAUAUUUUGUUUGGUUUAGAAAGUGCAAUGUCAAAAAAAAGCGUUUAUCAUUGGAAAAUAAACUAAAGAUUUUAGACGAUUCCACCGAAAAGGCCAUAUCAGCGAAAAAUGGAGUUCCAAAGUCGUCGGCUUAUACUAUAAAAAAAAAUCAGAUUUAAAAUCGAGGAUUACGUUCUAAAAACGAAUCGCACGAAAUCAGCACCUAUGCACUACAUUAUAUUACUAAAUUUAGGCGCCCGGUCGAUAGUUUGACACACGGUCACUUAACCCCACUUAAACCGCUCUCCUACAGCGGUGGUUAUCAAAAUUGAUUAGUGAAUUAAUCAUAUUGAUGGCGAACAUUUCUGCGCUGCAAACACUGAAAUUCACUCAAAUACUUGGCCGCGAAACUGCUAUAUUGAUAUUGAGUGGACAGCAGCUUGAUGGCUGGUUAACUCCUCGGUGGUUUUGGUGGCAAAUUGGUUGAAUGGCGAUAAUGAAAAAGUUUUUUGAUUGAAGUGGGUUAAUGGUAGUUAAGCUAACGAAAUGAAAGGACAACACUGACAACUUAUUUUUCGCCCAAACGGUCCUUACCAAUGACUCAAAUCGACUAUGGAAAAAAAGACCACCCUACUUGUAAUAUAUCUGUCAUAUAAACUCACCGGUCGAACUCAAGCAGAGUAGUGGCGAAUCGAAGAUGGCUAUUAUAAAUAUGUAUGUAUACAUACGUUUCAAGCGCUAACAAAAUCAUUGCAUAUUUCAGAAUUUUAAGUGUGUGCUUAAUUUAAAAUGCGGACUCAUUUCCUUUAGCCAGGACAAGGGAAGAAAUGAGCAGACCAAAUUGGUAUGUAAGUAUGUAUUUUAACGUUACAUUUGAAUAUGUACGAAUUUGACUGAGAAUGCAGACAAACGAGUAGUAAACAAUGAAAGAGAAAACCAAAGAAAGAAAUUUUAAAAGCAACAACAAUUAUAAAGGCGCUCUGAUACUGCAACGGUACACAGGAUAACAGCUGAGAAAAUAACUACAACGGAAGGAAACAAGCAACUACAAAGCGUGCAAUAACAACAAAAUUGCUGCACAUUAGGUUGAAAAAAAAACAACAACAUACAAAACAUGAGAAAAUAUUACGCUGGAAAUUGCGCAAUAAUAACAAAAACAACGAAUUGUACAAGGAUGCUGUGAGAUUUGAAACCCAAACCAAAUCUUCGCAGAGCAGAGAGAAUGGCUAUUGCUAUUGUUGUUAGUGCUCGGCUGACUGCUUGCUAGCUGCAACGGAAGUGUGCCACAAGUUGCACAGAAGUUGAAAAUAAUAUCGCAUUAUUUUGCCUUCUUUCAACAUUUUUAUUUGCUGCGCACAUUGAAUCAUAAGAAACGUUACAUACUCCCGACGACGACGCGUCAUCAUCUGUGCCUCACACCCAGCAGCCGGAAGGGACCCAAGACAAAGUUUUCCAGCGAUUAAAGGCGAGGGAGUUACGUCGACAGACGACAACUGCCGCUUGAGCGCAUCAGCCAUUCGACUGUGUAAAUGAGAUGCAACAAUGAUGCGGCUGCUGCGACGCCGACCGCGGCAUCAUCACAGUUGUCGCCGCCUGCAGUGCAUAAGAAUGAUGGUAACACAAUUGUGGCAUUUGUGGCACGCGUGCGGAAUAUGGCAAAGGAAUGCGCUAACAAUAAAGCAUAUAGUGCUGUUGGGCUUAUAGACAAAGGGCGGGCAGCUGGCGGUAGAAUGCAGUUCUGGGAUACACAAGUGUCUUUGUGCGUGCGUCGUGGCAAACUGAAGAAAAUAUGGGAAAAUCGCUCGAUGAUUAUGUACAGCAUGUGCGCAAUAAGGCACAAAAUAACAGCUCAGAUAUGGAAGGAAAUGGCAGUAACAUAAUCAUUAAAAACAGUUAAAACAAUGGAAUCUCGGUGGGUUCGCGGAAAUAACAGUACGCGAGCAAAUCGGUGUUUCGGUGUUCUUUUGGUGUGCUCUCAAAAUCUUGCGAUACAAAGUGCUGUCAGCCAGGACAUGUUUACCUUCAAAUAAUUUUGCGUGUGUAAUGCUUGAGUUAUUAUGCAAUUUUGUCGUCAGUUAAAUAUGAAAGGUGUUAAGUACUAUUUUUUCUUUCCUAUGUAUAUCAGAUGAAAGAAAAUAUUUCAGUUUUGUCUAAUAAUAAUCAAAGAGAUAAACUUAGAGGAGAUUAAAGGCUAAAUAGAACUUUUAAUUAUUACAAAUAUUAA